UCCUGGGAGGAUUGACCGCUUAAGACCUCUUUCUUGAUUCGGUGGAUGGUGGUGCACGUCCGUUCUUAGUUGGUGGAGCGAUUUUUCUGGUUGAUUUCGAUAGUGAACGACGUCCUAGCUUAUUAAAUAGGUGCGUGGUUCUCUGCACC
rnacentral:ncRNA from 1 species